rnacentral:rRNA from 1 species
GCUAAGGUCCCCAAAUCAUCGCUAAGUGAUAAAGGAGGUGGGAGUGCACAGACAACUAGGAGGUUUGCCUAGAAGCAGCCAACCUUGAAAGAGUGCGUAAUAGCUCACUAGUCAAGCGCUCCUGCGCCGAAAAUGAACGGGGCUAAGCGAUGUACCGAAGCUGUGGGAUUAAUUUAUUAAUCGGUAGGGGAGCGUUCCGUCGUAGGUAGAAGCAGUAGCGGCAAGCAGCUGUGGACGAAACGGAAGUGAGAAUGUCGGCUUGAGUAGCGCAAAUGUAUGUGAGAAUCAUACACCCCGAAACCCUAAGGGUUCCAGAGCCAGGUUCGUCCACUCUGGGUUAGUCGGGACCUAAGGCGAGGCCGAAAGGCGUAGUCGAUGGACACAGGGUUAAUAAUCCCUGACUAUGAUGUGGGAGCAUUGCUAGGGACGCAUCAAAGAUAGCCAUACCCUGAUUGGUUUGGGAGACCGUUACGACGGUCGAGUGGUGAAGGAUAGUGCCAAGAAAAGCUAGUAAUGUGAUGAAAGCAUCGUACCCGUACCCGAAACCGACACAGGUAGGGAGGUUGAG